rnacentral:rRNA from 1 species
AUUCCAGCUCCAAUAGCGUAUAUUAAAGUUGUUGCAGUUAAAAAGCUCGUAGCUGAAUUUUGGACUUGGCUGGGCGGUCUUUGCGAAUGCAUUGCACUUCUCUGGCUGAGUCUUUCCUUCUGGCGAACUAUUGUGCUAUUUAUUUAGUGCGAUUGGGAACCAGGACUUUUACUUUGAAAAAAUUAGAGUGUUUAAAGCAGGCUUACGCUUGAAUACAUUAGCAUGGAAUAAUAAAAUAGGACUUUGGUUUUAUUUUGUUGGUUUUCGAAACCAAAGUAAUGAUUAAUAGGGAUAGUUGGGGGCAUUACUAUUAUCGCGUCAGAGGUGAAAUUCUUGGAUUGCGAUAAGAGUAACUACUGCGAAAGCAUUUGCCAAGGAUGUUUUCAUCG